rnacentral:sRNA from 1 species
UAAGUCGUAUUUGGUAGCCUUUCGCUUUA